AUUUACAGAAUAGUUGUCAGGAUAGUAUAGCGUUCCCGUUAUUCUGCACUCAGUCUUCCCUAUUGUUAAAUUUACAUUAAAAUGAUACAUUUCCCACAACUAAUGAACCAGCGCUGAUACAUUAUUAUUAAUUAAAGUUUGUUCUUUAUUUGGAUUUCCUUAGUUUUUCCCUUUUCUGUUCCAGGAUCCCACCCAGGACACCACAUUACUUUGAAGUGUCAUGUCUUCUUAGUCUCAUCUUGACUGGCAGUUUCUUAGACUUUCUUUAUUUUUAAGGACCUUGACAGUUUUGAGGAGUACAUGUCUUUCAGUUUUGGAUUGUCUAAUGUUUUCCUCAUGGUUAAACUGGAUUUAGGAAUAAGGACCACAGAGGUAAAGUGCCAUUUUCCUCAUAUCAUAUCCAGGGCAUACUGUCAACGCGGCUUAUGACUGUUGAUGUUCACUUUGAUCACCUGGCUGUGGCAAAAUCAUGCCAUCAUGAGAAACUCCAAGGCUGGGGAUAUAACUGAAAAGUGGAAGGAAUUCAGGAAGAAUACUGCUGUGCAGGUAUGAGACUGAACAAAAUGACUUUUAGUAGCCCUUCAAAAUCUCAGACUGUUGUUCUAGAUAAUGUAAACUCCUAAAUCUCGGUUGGCAUCAUUUAUUUAAAAAAUUCAGUUGAUAACAUUUUGUGUAUAUCUUCUAGAUAAUUAUUUUAAUUCUUCACCUCACUUUGUUGCAAAUGUAUUCUAACUUAAGUUUGAUAUUUCAUCUGAAUUUCCUUCCCUGCACAAAAAUUGAGAUGCAGAUAUGAAUUGUUUUGCCCCAUAAUCUUGUUGUCAGAAAAAAAACUGAUGAAAGGAAACCAUCA